GACGUAGGGUCCAAGCGUUGUCCGGAUUUACUGGGCGUAAAGAGCGCGUAGGCGGUCUGAUAAGUGUGAAGUGAAAUCUCCAGGGCUCAACCCGGAAACUGCUUUACAUACUGUCAGAUUGGAGUGAUGAAGAGGUUUGUGGAAUUCCUGGUGUAACGGUGAAAUGUGUUGAUAUCAGGAGGAACACCCAUGGCGAAGGCAGCAAACUGGUCAUCAACUGACGCUGAGGCGCGAAAGCGUGGGUAGCAAACAGG
rnacentral:rRNA from 1 species